UUUGUCGUGCAGAAUCCUGGUCUCAGUUCUGCAGGAAAGAUAUCUGUGUCUGAGAGAUGCCGCACAAAGAAACUGAUUUUGGGCUUAGGUACCAAACAAAAACGGCCGUGAGGAGAGGCAGCAAAUGUUUAACAUAGUUGAGGACGUGCUUUGGGGAUAAUAUUAUUAACAAAAAUUAUUAUGGAGAAUAAAAGAUCAUAAGCAUUGCCUUCUACAAAAGGACUUGAUUUCAAAUUUGAAAGGUGGGAUGUGAAAGCUCAAUUUAGUGACAUCUCGUCACAAAUGCGGUUAGUCUGGGUUAACAAGAGGGGAUGGUUGUGUUAGUAAAUUCAAGAGAGCGCUGGAUAGUGAAAGAGAGUCAAUGCGAGAUAUAAACACUGCAGUGGCCAGAUGCAUUGCAGUAGUUUCUGAUUCACUAACUUGAUGCUGGAUCAAGAACUCACUCACACACUUAUUAAAAAAGAACUGUGUUUAGUUGUGUAGAGGAUGGAGAAAUCUGCAUGCCUUGCUUAAUCCUUCAGAUCUGGUUUGCAAAUUGCAGCGGCUAUUAAACUCAUUUCAGCCUGUUCUGUAAGUAAACAUCUGCACUAUCUUCGCAAGGGUUUCACGUCACACCCCAACCCCAUCAAAAAACUUCAGGGGAUAUUAAAACUGACAGCAAGAAUAAUUAAUAUGCAGCUGGAAAUGAUUUUACAGUUACUUGAUCAUGGCUCUCACACUCAGUUUAAUUUGUAUAUCUUAAUUUCAGGAUCUGCUUUGCAGCUGUGACUGGCUAUUGCAGAUACAGCAAACAGGAGAAGCUCUUAUUAAUAACUGCUAGACUGAAGUGUGUGAAAAUCCCAGGAGAUCAGCAGUUUCGGAGAUACUCAAACCACCCCAUAUGGCACCCUACAAUCGUUACUUGUUCAAAGUCACUUAGAUCACAUUUCUCCACCAUUCUGAUGUUUGGUCUGAACAACAACUGAACCUCUUGACCAGUGACCCAGCAGUGGAUUCAAUGCCAGAAAGUCUGUUGCAGUUCCGUAUUGAGGGAGUUGACACCUUUUCACAAUAUUGCACUGCAUCACGGGAGGCCCUGUUAAUGAGAGCGGAUUCAGUCGUCAGAGAGAUCAUUUGGAGAAGGAAGUCACUUUCAUCACAGAUAUAGCUGUGGGUGCAACCUCACAACGAUCUUGGAAUGGAAGACUGGUUUAUAGCUAUGUUGCAUAAAAAUGAGAGAAUGUUACUUUCUGGAAAGAAAAGUGCUGCAAUCUAGCUGAACAUUCAAAUGCUAAAGAUGAUUUCUUGAUUUCCAAUCUACAUUGUCAAGGCCGAUGCACUUAAUUUGUCAUCUGCACUGCACUUUCUCUGCAGCUGCAACACUGCAUUUCGUGUUUCUUUUUUAUUACCUCAAUAUAUGGCAAGAAAAUGAAUCUUGGAAUAGUUUGUGGUGGCAUAUAUGUGGACUUUGAUAAUAAAUUUAUUUUGAACCUUAAACUUUGAUCUGGCUGGAUAGCAUGCACUCUUUUCUCGGUACAUACGGUAAUAGUAAAACCAAUGCAGGUGACAGUUACUGUAACUGGAAAUCAAAGAGAAGCACAAGGGAAUCUUGAUGCUGAUGAUUUUGGACAUAAAUUGCACCAUUGCAUCUCAGCGUCAAGCAGAAUAGUAACAAACAAUUCGCUGGAGAAACUCGGGGGGUUGAGCAGCAUAUGUGGAUAGAAAAGAAUUAU